GAUGAUCAUCUGUGGCUGACUCAACUUCGCGGAAGAUACCGCGACGCACCGUACCGAUUCGGGCGAUCGAUGCCAGAGCCCCUGAGGCCCACAUCGCCAUACGGAUCCUCGAACCGGUUCAUGAGCUCGUAGAGCUUGCUGCGGAGGGUGCCCCGUUCCGCGGCCAGUGCCUCGUCCCAGAUAACGUUGUGGAGCUCGCAAGGGUCAAGCCGCAGAUCGUACAUCUCGUCAUAGUCAAAGCCAUUGAACACGUACUUGAACUGGUCU
rnacentral:rRNA from 1 species